rnacentral:rRNA from 1 species
AUGCAGCAACGCCGCGUGAGGGAUCGACGGCCUAUCGGGUUGUAAACCUCUUUUAGCAGGGAAGAAGCGAAAGUGACGGUACCUGCAGAAAAAGCGCCGGCUAACUACGUGCCAGCAGCCGCGGUAAUACGUAGGGCGCAAGCGUUAUCCGGAAUUAUUGGGCGUAAAGAGCUCGUAGGCGGUUUGUCGCGUCUGCUGUGAAAUCCCGAGGCUCAACUUCGGGUCUGCAGUGGGUACGGGCAGACUAGAGUGCGGUAGGGGAGAUUGGAAUUCCUGGUGUAGCGGUGGAAUGCGCAGAUAUCAGGAGGAACACCGAUGGCGAAGGCAGAUCUCUGGGCCGUAACUGACGCUGAGGAGCGAAAGGGUGGGGAGCAAACAGGCUUAGAUACCCUGGUAGUCCACCCCGUAAACGUUGGGAACUAGUUGUGGGGUCCAUUCCACGGAUUCCGUGACGCAGCUAACGCAUUAAGUUCCCCGCCUGGGGAGUACGGCCGCAAGGCUAAAACUCAAAGGAAUUGACGGGGACCCGCACAAGCGGCGGAGCAUGCGGAUUAAUUCGAUGCAACGCGAAGAACCUUACCAAGGCUUGACAUAUACGAGAACGCUGCAGAAUGUAGAACUCUUUGGACACU